rnacentral:rRNA from 1 species
GACGAACGCUGGCGGCGUGCUUAACACAUGCAAGUCGAGCGGUGAACCCUUCGGGGGGAUCAGCGGCGAACGGGUGAGUAACACGUGAGCAACCUGCCCCUGACUCUGGGAUAGCCUCGGGAAACCGGGAUUAAUACCGGAUAUGACAUCGCCUCGCAUGGGGUGGUGUGGAAAGUUUUUCGGUCAGGGAUGGGCUCGCGGCCUAUCAGCUUGUUGGUGGGGUGAUGGCCUACCAAGGCGACGACGGGUAGCCGGCCUGAGAGGGUGACCGGCCACACUGGGACUGAGACACGGCCCAGACUCCUACGGGAGGCAGCAGUGGGGAAUAUUGCGCAAUGGGCGAAAGCCUGACGCAGCGACGCCGCGUGAGGGAUGAAGGCCUUCGGGUUGUAAACCUCUUUCAGCAGGGAAGAAGCGCAAGUGACGGUACCUGCAGAAGAAGCACCGGCUAACUACGUGCCAGCAGCCGCGGUAAUACGUAGGGUGCAAGCGUUGUCCGGAAUUAUUGGGCGUAAAGAGCUCGUAGGCGGUUUGUCGCGUCUGCUGUGAAAACGCGGGGCUCAACUCCGCGCCUGCAGUGGGUACGGGCAGACUAGAGUGCAGUAGGGGAGACUGGAAUUCCUGGUGUAGCGGUGGAAUGCGCAGAUAUCAGGAGGAACACCGGUGGCGAAGGCGGGUCUCUGGGCUGUAACUGACGCUGAGGAGCGAAAGCGUGGGUAGCGAACAGGAUUAGAUACCCUGGUAGUCCACGCCGUAAACGUUGGGCGCUAGGUGUGGGGCUCAUUCCACGAGUUCCGUGCCGCAGCAAACGCAUUAAGCGCCCCGCCUGGGGAGUACGGCCGCAAGGCUAAAACUCAAAGGAAUUGACGGGGCCCCGCACAAGCGGCGGAGCAUGCGGAUUAAUUCGAUGCAACGCGAAGAACCUUACCAAGGCUUGACAUGCAGGGUAAUCCGGCAGAGAUGUCGGGUCCGCAAGGGAUCCUGCACAGGUGGUGCAUGGUUGUCGUCAGCUCGUGUCGUGAGAUGUUGGGUUAAGUCCCGCAACGAGCGCAACCCUCGUCCUAUGUUGCCAGCACGUGAUGGUGGGGACUCAUAGGAGACUGCCGGGGUCAACUCGGAGGAAGGUGGGGAUGACGUCAAAUCAUCAUGCCCCUUAUGUCUUGGGCUUCACGCAUGCUACAAUGGCCAGUACAAAGGGCUGCGAGACCGUGAGGUGGAGCGAAUCCCAAAAAGCUGGUCUCAGUUCGGAUCGGGGUCUGCAACUCGACCCCGUGAAGUCGGAGUCGCUAGUAAUCGCAGAUCAGCAACGCUGCGGUGAAUACGUUCCCGGGGCU